CGGGUGAGUAAUGCCUGGGAAUAUGCCCUGAUGUGGGGGAUAACCAUUGGAAACGAUGGCUAAUACCGCAUAAUCUCUUCGGAGCAAAGAGGGGGACCUUCGGGCCUCUCGCGUCAGGAUUAGCCCAGGUGGGAUUAGCUAGUUGGUGAGGUAAAGGCUCACCAAGGCGACGAUCCCUAGCUGGUCUGAGAGGAUGAUCAGCCACACUGGAACUGAGACACGGUCCAGACUCCUACGGGAGGCAGCAGUGGGGAAUAUUGCACAAUGGGGGAAACCCUGAUGCAGCCAUGCCGCGUGUAUGAAGAAGGCCUUCGGGUUGUAAAGUACUUUCAGCAGUGAGGAAGGUGGUGUCGUUAAUAGCGGCAUUGCUUGACGUUAGCUGCAGAAGAAGCACCGGCUAACUCCGUGCCAGCAGCCGCGGUAAUACGGAGGGUGCGAGCGUUAAUCGGAAUUACUGGGCGUAAAGCGCAUGCAGGCGGUCUGUUAAGCAAGAUGUGAAA
rnacentral:rRNA from 1 species